rnacentral:miRNA from 1 species
CUGGGCUGGGGUUCGCUUAAGC